CUACCGAACCAUUCGGCAACACUCCAAAAAUAUAUUAUCUCGAUUCUUUUGGAGGGGAACUAGGGAGGAGACAAAUUUUAUUAGAGUUGAUUAAUACGCGAUUGUGUUAUACUGUACUAACACAAAACAAUCAAUUCCAAGGUCCUUUAUAAAUUUUGAUGCGGCCUACACUUGGAAUAUAAUUAAGUGUCCAAGACAAAAGAAAAAUAGCUUGGAUUGUGACUAUUGCGUAAUGAGAUUCAUGAAGGACAUCAUUAUCCAUAACGAGAGCAUAAUUCCCAAGAUGUACUAUGAUGAUUCUUAUGUUGAAGAAUUCGGGGAUGCAGAAAUAAAUGAGGACAAAGCUGUGAUCAGGGCAAGGGAAAAGAGUCUAGAUUGGCAUAGUGGUGUCGUAGUCGUGUGAAAGCUUUAAGUUUGUGUAAUGAACUAAUUUAGUGUUCAUUUUGUAUAUAUGAGUUGCCAUAG